AACGAACGCUGGCGGCGUGGAUAAGACAUGCAAGUCGAACGCCCCGCAAGGGGAGUGGCAGACGGGUGAGUAACGCGUGGGAAUCUACCUAGUUCUACGGAACAACAGAGGGAAACUUCUGCUAAUACCGUAUACGCCCUAAGGGGGAAAGAUUUAUCGGAAUUAGAUGAGCCCGCGUAAGAUUAGCUAGUUGGUGGGGU
rnacentral:rRNA from 1 species